rnacentral:rRNA from 1 species
CCCUUAGAUGUUCUGGGCCGCACACGCGCUACACUGAAGGAGGCAGCGUGUACUCCUGGAUCGAAAGAUUUGGGUAACCCGCGAAUCUCCUUCGUGCUAGGGAUUGAGGUUUGCAAUUAUCCUUCAUGAACGAGGAAUUCCCAGUAAGUGCAAGUCAUAAGCUUGCGCUGACUACGUCCCCGCCCUUUGUACACACCGCCCGUCGCUACUACCGAUUGAAUGAUUUAGUGAGGACUUCGGACUGGGACCGAUGCGGCUUUCGGGCUGCGUCGGUAUUCUGGAAAGAUGUCCAAACUGUAUCAUUUAGAGGAAGUAAAAGUCGUANCA